rnacentral:rRNA from 1 species
GGAGGUGGGGGCACCCUGCUCCGCCCUGCCGCGUGAGCUGAAGAAGGCCUUCGGGUCUGUAAAGCUCUUUCGGACGGAACGAAAUGGUUACGGUCAAUACCCGUGACUGAUGACGGUACCGUAAGGAGAAGCACCGGCUAACUACGUGCCAGCAGCCGCGGUAAUACGUAGGGUGCGAGCGUUAAUCGGAAUUACUGGGCGUAAAGCGUGCGCAGGCGGUUUCGUAAGCUGGAGGUGAAAUCCCCGGGCUUAACCUGGGAAUGGCCUUCAGGACUGCGAGGCUAGAGUGCGGCAGAGGGAGGUGGAAUUCCACGUGUAGCAGUGAAAUGCGUAGAUAUGUGGAGGAACACCGAUGGCGAAGGCAGCCUCCUGGGCCAGCACUGACGCUCAUGCACGAAA